UACGGAGGAUCCAAGCGUUAUCCGGAUUUAUUGGGUUUAAAGGGUGCGUAGGCGGAUUGAUAAGUUAGAGGUGAAAUGUCCGAGCUUAACUCGGGAACUGCCUCUAAUACUGUUGAUCUAGAGAGUAGAUGCGGUAGGCGGAAUGUAUGGUGUAGCGGUGAAAUGCUUAGAGAUCAUACAGAACACCGAUUGCGAAGGCAGCUUACCAAUCUAUAUCUGACGUUGAGGCACGAAGGCGUGGGGAGCAAACAGG
rnacentral:rRNA from 1 species